rnacentral:rRNA from 1 species
AAAUUGAAGAGUUUGAUCAUGGCUCAGAUUGAACGCUGGCGGCAGGCCUAACACAUGCAAGUCGAACGGUAACAGGAAGCAGCUUGCUGCUUCGCUGACGAGUGGCGGACGGGUGAGUAAUGUCUGGGAAACUGCCUGAUGGAGGGGGAUAACUACUGGAAACGGUGGCUAAUACCGCAUAACGUCGCAAGACCAAAGAGGGGGACCUUUGGGCCUCUUGCCAUCAGAUGUGCCCAGAUGGGAUUAGCUUGUUGGUGAGGUAACGGCUCACCAAGGCGACGAUCCCUAGCUGGUCUGAGAGGAUGACCAGCCACACUGGAACUGAGACACGGUCCAGACUCCUACGGGAGGCAGCAGUGGGGAAUAUUGCACAAUGGGCGCAAGCCUGAUGCAGCCAUGCCGCGUGUAUGAAGAAGGCCUUCGGGUUGUAAAGUACUUUCAGCGGGGAGGAAGGUGUUGUGGUUAAUAACCGCAGCAAUUGACGUUACCCGCAGAAGAAGCACCGGCUAACUCCGUGCCAGCAGCCGCGGUAAUACGGAGGGUGCAAGCGUUAAUCGGAAUUACUGGGCGUAAAGCGCACGCAGGCGGUCUGUCAAGUCGGAUGUGAAAUCCCC